rnacentral:rRNA from 1 species
UACGUAGGGGGCUAGCGUUGUCCGGAAUCAUUGGGCGUAAAGCGCGUGUAGGCGGCCCGGUAAGUCCGCUCUGAAAGUCGGGGGCUCAACCCUCGGGAUGCGGGUGGAUACUGUCGGGCUUGGGUGCGGAAGAGGCGGAGUGGAAUUCCUGGUGUAGCGGUGAAAUGCGCAGAUAUCAGGAGGAACACCAAUUGCGAAGGCAGCUCGCUGGGACGUUACUGACGCUGAGACG